rnacentral:rRNA from 1 species
AUUGAACGCUGGCGGCAGGCCUAACACAUGCAAGACGAGCGGAUGAGGGGAGCUUGCUCCCUGAUUUAGCGGCGGACGGGUGAGUAAUGCGUAGGAAGCUGCCCGAUAGAGGGGGAUACCAGUUGGAAACGACUGUUAAUACCGCAUAAUGUCUACGGACCAAAGUGUGGGACCUUCGGGCCACAUGCUAUCGGAUGCGCCUACGUGGGAUUAGCUAGUUGGUGAGGUAAUGGCUCACCAAGGCGACGAUCUCUAGCUGGUUUGAGAGGAUGAUCAGCCACACUGGAACUGAGACACGGUCCAGACUCCUACGGGAGGCAGCAGUGGGGAAUAUUGGACAAUGGGCGCAAGCCUGAUCCAGCCAUGCCGCGUGUGUGAAGAAGGCCUUCGGGUUGUAAAGCACUUUCAGCGAGGAGGAAGGGAGUUGUGUUAAUAGCGCAGCUUUUUGACGUUACUCGCAGAAGAAGCACCGGCUAACUCUGUGCCAGCAGCCGCGGUAAAAC